UCGGGACGAGGAGGGAGGGGACAGAAGAGCGGUCUUGGAAACUGCUUCAGUGCACUAAUGUCCCUGCAACCUGAGCCUUUAUUGGAUCCGAAGGGCAUCGCAAGACAGGCGUCCUCCACACCCUCUGGUUCAGAGGCGAGGAUUAAAGGGAUGGCUUUCAUUCAGGAAAGGAGAAGCGAAAAAAGCCUCCAAGCAGAUCCCACUCCGGCUCAGCCCUUCUCCCUGUGUGCCUGUCCCCACGUCUCCGCUGCCGGUCCGAUGGACCAACCCCUCCGACGGAGCGGGUGCAAGCUCGCCUGGACAGUUGCCCAGCAGCCGUGCUGGUUGACUGUGAAGUAGUCGCCCACUUCAAGCUGCCUCGCGGCCUCCCACGUUUGCGGGGAAAAGAGAGGAUGUGAUCAACUCUCCUGUUCUACAGCCGGAUCCCAGCUCUGGGGUCUCGACCCUCCGGAAAGAGAAACACUCAAGAUCUGCCACCAUCAACAGAGCUGAGAAAUGGGAACUCGUGCACACACCUGCCUUUAAUUUUCAACGGAAAAUUGCAGCAUUAUUAAAACAAGCAUAUCAUUUAGAACACAUGGAUGCAGACAAAAUCUGUGGAUCUCUUCACUCACUUCAUCAAUAUCUUCUUCAACUGUAUGUCCACUGACAUUACGACAGAAGAAGAUUAACACAUCUUCUGUUGCAGACUAAAGCGGCAUCUAUUCUAACUGCACCCUGGCAAAUUUAUAAAAAAAGAUGUGUCUUUUUGUAGCACAUGAAGCAUUUAUCUUUUCCAAACUUAGUGUAUUGAAUGAUUUAUCUUGAGGUUUUAUACACAUAUAUAUAUUAAGUAAUCCUGGAUAUAAAUGUCAGCUAAAUUAAUUUAAUGUAAUAGUACUUGAUUUCUUAAAAAUAUGCUUGAGGAGAAAUUUAGGAAUGCAGUUAGGUUACAUCACUAAUUCUGCCCAACAAUUCCAAUAA